UAAUUCCAAGCUCCGAGAUGCA
rnacentral:siRNA from 1 species